GAUGAAGAACUUAGCGAAAUGCGAUAAGUAGUGUGAAUUGCAGAAUUCAGUGAAUCAUCGAAUCUUUGAACGCACAUUGCGCCCCUUGGUAUUCCAUGGGGCAUGCCUGUUCGAGCGUCAUUUGUACCUUCAAGCUCUGCUUGGUGUUGGGUGUUUGUCUCGCCUCUGCGUGUAGACUCGCCUUAAAACAAUUGGCAGCCGGCGUAUUGAUUUCGGAGCGCAGUACAUCUCGCGCUUUGCACUCAUAACGACGACGUCCAAAAGUACAUUUUUACACUCUUGACCUCGGAUCAGGUAGGGAUACCCGCUGAACUUAAGCAUAUCAAUAAGCGGAGGA
rnacentral:misc_RNA from 1 species